rnacentral:misc_RNA from 1 species
GAUGAAGAACGUAGCGAAAUGCGAUAAGUAAUGUGAAUUGCAGAAUUCAGUGAAUCAUCGAAUCUUUGAACGCACAUUGCGCCCGCCAGUAUUCUGGCGGGCAUGCCUGUUCGAGCGUCAUUUCAACCCUCAAGACCCCUUCGGGGGACUUGGUGUUGGGGACCGGCACAGGGGCCUGCCUGCUUGUCUUGCAGCGCCCUCGCCGCCCCCGAAAUGAAUUGGCGGCCUCGUCGCGACCUCCCCUGCGUAGUAGCACAACCUCGCAACGGGAACGUGACGGCGGCCACUGCCGUAAAACAACCCCAAUUUUAUUAGAGUUGACCUCGAAUCAGGUAGGAAUACCCGCUGAACUUAAGCAUAUCAAUAAGCGGAGGA